GAGACACCAGGUGACCCUGAGCAGAGAGACACCAGGUGACCCUGAGCAGAGAGACACCAGGUGACCUUGAGCAGAGCGACACCAGGUGAUCCUGAGGAGAGAGACACCAGGUGACCCUGAGCAGAGAGACACCAGGUGACCUUGAGCAGAGAGACACCAGGUGAUCCUGAGGAGAGAGACACCAGGUGACCCUGAGGAGAGAGACGCCAGGUGACCCUGAGCAGAGAGACGCCAGGUGACCCUGAGCAGAGAGACGCCAGGUGACCCUGAGCAGAGAGACACCAGGUGAUCCUGAGCAGAGAGACACCAGGUGGUCCUGAGGAGAGAGACACCAGGUGAUCCUGAGCAGAGAGACACCAGGUGAUCCUGAGCAGAGAGACAUAUAUAAUUGCAUUUUUACUGUGUAUGUGCUUACGGUAUGCUGUUU
ensembl:lncRNA